CUGCCCCUGGAGAAGAGGGCUCCAACAGCGCCUGCCCCGCCAGGCUGCAGCCUCUCCCUCUCAUUAUUUUUUCACCGCUAGAACUAUCUUUUACCUUAUCAAUAAUUCACAGGUACAAUUUUGGGCACUGACAGAUGGGAAAACCCCACGCUGGGAUAAUCCAGGAGCACUAUUUUGGCCUUGCUGUCACAGUCACUGCUGGCAUCUCUCCACAAAAGGAUGGGAACAGGAAAGGAACAGGUCCUGUCUGGCUCUGUGGAGUGCUAGUAAAAUAUAUUUCUGCCUAAGAUGCUCCGACAGGACUGCAGUGCAGAGGUUGGGAAGGCAUCCCCUGGGGAGAGCGUGGGAAGAUCGGCGCCAGAGGAUCUCCCCCAGCCUGGCUGAGAGCAGCAGGGGCAGCCUGGACCCCCCUCCAGCAGCCCCUCGGCUGUGGCAGCCCCAUCCCUACCCAGACAUGCCUGUUCAGACAUCAACUCACAUCAUCACAGAUAGAGAAGAGCCGGCUUUGCUCGUCAGCCCUGCAGAGUGGGGAUGCUUGGGGGUUUUGAGAGCAAUUAAGGACUUGGCCUGUGUUGGAGGCACUGGACUUGUGUCCUCAGUACCCAGAGAGGGAGAGUGGGUGAGGUGUCAUCCAUCACCCAGAAGGGGACACUUUAUCACUGGGACACCUCUGAACACUCAGCCCAGAGCCCUCCCAGGGAUUUCUGCUCCAGCUGACACUUCAGUUUUCACCACUGGGAAAAGAAGUACAGUCUCCUUUGCAACUUCAAAGGA